rnacentral:misc_RNA from 1 species
CCGCAUUGCAAGCAUUUUGCCAACACGACGGACCAAAUCCGCCAUAACAGCGGAGCGAGUUGAAGUGGGGUGGAUAUGGUUUCACAAAGUAAAAUUUCUUCGAAUAUGUGGCGAGAACAGACCAGGUGACCACGGGUUUUACCUGGCUUUGUUUCCAUGGCAUCCCCCCAAUCAUCUCUUGCACCCCCUCUUCAUGUGCAACACUUGGAAAAAGCUCUCCGUUUGGAUCCUCUCCUCACUUACUUAGAAGGCGUCUUCACAGAUCCUUACUUGUCAACCAUAAGUGAUGAUGAAAGUGAAUUAAGUGAUAAUGAAAAGGAAGUCUCCUUAAAAGGUGACAGUCUUUUAAAUGGCACCAGCAAUGGAUUGACGUUAAAUGGAUGUUUGAGUCAUGAUGAGUUGCGAAUUGACAAAACAAGAUUGUACAACUUCAGUAAAGUGAAGAAAGAUAGGAGAUGGUUGAAGGAGGUGCUUCUGAGUGACAGUUCUGACACCUCAUGUGAUGAGGAUGAUGAGGCACCACUAACGGAAGAAGAUCUUCAGGAGAUGCUUUGGCUACACAAGCAGCAAAAAGUUGCCCAACAGAUGUACCAUGUUGACAAAGAUCUUUCGAGAUACCAACAUUACAGUGCAAGCUUGCUUUCAGACCAAGACAAGUACAAUGACCAUCAGAAACAAGCUGGAUUAAAGAAGCUCAAAAGAAAGAAGUUGAAAGAUAGUAAGGUAAAACUUUCAAAGGAAAAGAAGGAGAAGGAUAAAGUGAAAGUUAAAAAGAAAAAGAGGAAUUCUGAUGAUUUGGAUGAUGAUCAGAGGCAGCUGACAAUGGAAGAAAAACUUAUCAAGAGAACUCUGAUACGUCGCAAGGAAGCUGAUGCUAAACGGCGGAAACUGUGGGCUUUGAUAGUCAGGAAGGAGAUACCAAGGGCUCAUAGACAAAAGUCUUCUGCGAGGAACAACAUGCUUCAAAACUGCAAAAAGCUUGCUCAGCUGUGCCAGAAAGAGAUGCGGAAAGAAGCACAAAGAUCUCAGAAGGUUACUCAACAGACUGCUCCAAAGGCUAGGAGGCUCUCAAGAGAGAUGCUAGUUUAUUGGAGGAAAUAUGAGAAAGUUGAGAAAGAACACAGGAAAAGGGCAGAAAAAGAGGCUCAGGAACAACGGAAGCUGGAUGAUGAAUUCAGAGAGGUACGCAGACAACAGCGGAAACUGAAUUUCUUAAUCACACAGACUGAGCUUUAUGCUCAUUUUAUGAGCAAAAAAUUGAAGGGUUCACAGCCUGAUGAAGGCACACAGGAGAUUUUGAGAAAAUUGGAUGAACCAUCAGCAAAACAGAGUGUGAAGAUGGUCCUUGGUGGAGUGCUGAUUGAUAUGGAGAAUGCUGAUACAUAUAAUGCUGAUGAAAUGAAGUCUCAAGCUCUGUCAAAUGCACAGAGAGCUAUUCAAGAUCAGGAGGCCAGGACAAGAGAUUUUGAUGCUAAUUUCCAACAAGAAUCUGGUAAAAAGGUUUCAAUGUCACAAGCAUUUUUUGACCAGAGUUAUAGCUUAGCAGAUCCCUCAAUAAACAUGGAUGAAGCUCAUCCACAACCAACAGUCUUUGAAGGAGAACUUAAAUCAUACCAGCUUAAGGGAAUGAACUGGCUUAUCAACUUGUAUGAACAAGGUAUUAAUGGCAUUCUAGCAGAUGAGAUGGGUUUGGGAAAGACAGUGCAGUCUAUAGCCUUUCUCUCUUAUCUAGCAGAGACACAUAAUAUUUGGGGUCCAUUUCUUGUGGUUGCUCCAGCUUCCACACUGCACAACUGGCAGCAGGAAGUCAGCAGAUUUGUUCCACAAUUCAAGGUGUUGCCAUACUGGGGAAACCAGGGUGAUAGAAAAUCUCUAAGGAAAUACUGGACUCAGAACCAAAUUCAUAUAAAUGACUAUGAGAAUGCACCGUUCCAUGUGCUUAUAACAAGCUACCAAUUGAUUGUGCAAGAUGUGAGAUACUUUCAGCGCAUAAAGUGGCAGUACCUUGUACUUGAUGAAGCUCAAGCAAUCAAAAGUAGUGCCAGUGUGCGGUGGAAGAUUCUACUUGGUUAUUCAUGCAGGAACAGACUUCUUUUGACAGGAACACCCAUUCAGAACAGUAUGGCUGAGUUGUGGGCACUGCUUCACUUCAUAAUGCCAACCCUGUUUGAUUCCCAUGAGGAGUUCAAUGAGUGGUUCUCAAAGGACAUUGAAAAUCAUGCAGAAAAUAAGUCAGCUAUUGACCAAGACCAACUUUCAAGACUUCACAUGAUCUUAAAACCUUUCAUGUUAAGGAGGAUUAAGCGCGAUGUAGAGAAUGAACUUUCUGAAAAGAUUGAGAUCAAGCUUGUUUGUCAUCUGACUACAAGACAAAGAUGGCUGUACCAAGCCGUGAAAAACAAGAUUUCCAUCGAUGACCUCGUUUACACGUCAACAUCUUCAUCAUCCACCAGCGCGACAACAAGCAGUUUGAUGAACCUGGUCAUGCAGUUCAGAAAGGUCUGUAACCACCCUGAACUGUUUGAGAGAAGGGACGUUCGCUCUCCAAUUCAUGUGGAAAUUCCAUCAUUCCAUCUGCCAAAGCUUAUAUUUCGAGAAGGCAUCCUGGAGUCUUCUUCACCCGGUAGAACGAAAAUCCUCUACAAUCUGCUGAAUAUCGGAUCCGAAGAGUACAUUCAUCAUUCUUUGUAUGAUAGUCACUCCUCAGGUCCUCCGAGUGACUGCUUUUCAUUUUCAAGAUUUAUCAAUUUGUCUCCAGCACAAUUAUCAGCUUUGGCGUUGAAGGGACUCGUGUAUAGGUUGUUCACUUUACUCGUUCUUCUAAAGGAAAUUACUAUUCUUCAUCAUCAACGAUUUUGGGCCCAAGACAAGCUGAGGAGUAGGUGUUUGGGUCGACAUGAUCUCAUCAUUUGGCCAGAUUCCUUCACGUCCUUUCCAAGCAUCCGGUCCAGUUCAGUGCUUUCGUCGUUGGUGUUCACUGGCUACACCUCACGAGUGUCUUCCCUCGUGACUCAUAAUGUUCAGGCCAUUUUGGACGAUGACGAUCGCAAUCCUGCAAGGAGCAAAGGUAAAGAGGCUCUGAGAGCGCCGAGAACUCGACGGAUAUCUAGCAGCCGUGCUGUAUCGCCAACUUCCCCAUCAAAGAGGAAAGAUGCUCGUCAAAGAGGCCAGCACCCACACCACAGCGUCAUAUCUCCGACUGGGAAGCUCCCUCCUUCUCCUCUCAAACAUUCCCCAACAGGGGCGUUUUCUCCAACGAAACAUUAUGGACACUCAUUCUUCCCUGCGCAGCUUUCACCUUCCAAACAUCAUCAUAGUGUACCGCUGUCACCUUCAUGGACUCAGCAAAAUCCGCAUGGGUCCCACCCGGGAGAUUUGCAAAUAGGAGAGCACCAUUCUUCGUUAGGACACGUGCCGCCCACUCACCCAAUACAAGGAUCUCCUGCGAUACAUUCCCCGCCCGGACAUGGCGGAACUCCCCAGCGGUCUCCCAUGGGACAUGUAUUACCCCCGCUACAAUCGCCUCCAGGGAAAAUGGCUCCGCCAACAUCUGUAUCAUCUGUGCAGCACUUGCAUCCCUUCUCCCCCACGAGGCAUGGUUCAUCGCUGCCGAUGAGUUUACCCGAAGGAUUUCAAUUGAACACUGCACCCAGAGUGUAUCCUAUAGACAGAACACUGCAGCCGACAAUUCUGCCACCAUUUUUGUCGACAUAUAUACCGAGGGUAACGGCAGGGACUGAUGUUUAUCGCUGCAGUGAUCGCAGUGCCGCUUACGAGAUUCAGAACUUGUUACAGGGGGGUUCAGAACUGUACAGGAACCUCUUGAUGUACGGCACUCCAGAUCCUGAACACGUCAGUUACGUGAAGAAGCAUUUGUUCCCUGCUCCUCUUGGCGGGCUGGAGGCUGCCACUCCUCAGAAUGGAUGGACCUUCGUGCAAAUUCCAGACCGUAACUUGUUGAUCACAGACAGUGGUAAAUUAACUGUUCUGGACGGACUGCUGACCAAACUGAAGAUGCAGGGACACAGGGUGUUAAUCUAUUCACAAAUGACGAAGAUGAUUGAUCUCUUAGAGGAGUACAUGACUUACCGUAAGCACAAGUACAUGCGACUUGACGGUUCAUCGAAAAUCUCAGACAGGAGAGAUAUGGUGGCUGAUUUCCAGUCUAAUGCGGACAUUUUCGUGUUUUUACUGAGUACACGAGCAGGUGGUCUGGGGAUCAAUCUUACAGCUGCGGAUACGGUAAGACAUCUAAAAGAGGUCAUCGUCAAUGAGAAAACUUUGGAUGGCUGAGCCAUUCUAAAAGCACCGUGAGCCCUUUACACUCCAACAUCAGUAUGCAUAUUCUCCAUACUGUUCUCCACAUAUUUUCUUAGGUGCCGAAAAGGAGAUGUGUUUAAAAAUCAAGAGCUUCUCUUGCCAUUGAUCACUUCCUUUAUUCUCAUGACCUCAAUGUAUGAACCAGGACUGAUAUUGUAAGGAGAGAGUAGAUA